rnacentral:tRNA from 1 species
UGUGGUGUGGCUCAGUGGUGGAGCCCUUGCCUAGGACGUUUGAGGCACUGGGUUUGAUCCUCAGCACCACAU